UGAGAAAGUUUGGGUUAAAUAAUUUAUCAUCUAAUCACAUUAAAGAUAAGUGAGUUAGAAAUAAAUUAAUAAAUAAAAUAUAGAAAUUUAAACUCACUUAUCUUCAAUGUCAUUGGAUGAUGGGUUAUUUAACCCAAACUUUUUCA
rnacentral:pre_miRNA from 1 species